rnacentral:rRNA from 1 species
UGAAUACGAGAUGCUACGGCAUUGAAGCAGUCUAUGUCAGACUUCCAAGAAAAGCUCGCAAUGUCAUAAACAAGAAAUGCCUGUACCAUAACCGACACAGGUGGGUAGGUAGAGUAUACUAAGGGGCGCGAGAUAACUCUCUCUAAGGAACUCGGCAAAAUGACUCCGUAACUUCGGGAGAAGGAGUGCCUUAUUUGAUAAGGUUGCAAUAACAAGAUCCAAGCAACUGUUUGCCAAAAACACAGGUCUCCGCUAAGUCGUAAGACGAUGUAUGGGGGCUGACGCCUGCCCAGUGCCAGAAGGUUAAAGAAGUUGGUUAGCCUAGCGAAGCUGAUGACUGAAGCCCUGGUGAACGGCGGCCGUAACGAUAACGGUCCUAAGGUAGCGAAAUUCCUUGUCGGGUAAGUUCCGACCCGCACGAAAGGCGUAAUGAUUUGGAUACUGUCUCGGAGAGGGGCUCGGUGAAAUAGACUUGUCUGUGAAGAUGCGGACUACCUGCACCUGGACAGAAAGACCCUAUGAAGCUUUACUGUAACUUGAGAUUGAAAUUGGACUUUAUUUGCGCAGUAUAGGUGGGAGACGUUGAGAAUAUUCUUGCGGGAGUAUUGGAGUCAUCAGUGAGAUACCACUCUUGUAAUGUUAGAUUUCUAACUUUGGAUCAUUAUCUGGUCAAAGGACAGUUUCAGGCGGGCAGUUUGACUGGGGCGGUCGCCUCCCAAACGGUAACGGAGGCGCACAAAGGUUUCCUCUGAACGUGUAGAAAUCGUAUCUAGAGUGUAAAGGCAUAAGGAAGCUUGACUGUGAGACCUACAAGUCGAGCAGGGACGAAAGUCGGUCUUAGUGAUCUGACGGUGCUGAGUGGAAAGGCCGUCACUCAACGGAUAAAAGUUACUCUAAGGAUAACAGGCUGAUCUCCCCCAAGAGUUCACAUCGACGGGGAGGUUUGGCACCUCGAUGUCGGCUCAUCGCAUCCUGGGGCGGUAGUACGUCCCAAGGGUUGGGCUGUUCGCCCAUGAAAGCGGUACGCGAGCUGGGUUCAGAACGUCGUGAGACAGUUCGGUCCAUAUCCGGUGUAGGCGUUAGAAUAUUGAGAGGAGCCUUCUUUAGUACGAGAGGACCGAGAAGGACAUACCUCUGGUGUACCAGUUAUCGUGCCAACGGUAAACGCUGGGUAGCUAUGUAUGGAGAGGAUAACCGCUGAAAGCAUCUAAGUGGGAAGCCCACCUCAAGAUGAGUAUUCUGGUGUAAGGUCACGGGAAGACGACCCGUAAAUAGGCACGAGGUGGAAGUGCAGAGAUGUAUGAAGCCGAAGUGUACUAAUAGACC